rnacentral:rRNA from 1 species
GUGAGGAAUCUUCCACAAUGGGCGAAAGCCUGAUGGAGCAACGCCGCGUGAAGGAUGAAGGUCUUCGGAUUGUAAACUUCUUUUAUGAGUGAAGAAUAUGACGGUAACUCAUGAAUAAGCACCGGCUAACUACGUGCCAGCAGCCGCGGUCAUACGUAGGGUGCAAGCAUUAUCCGGAGUGACUGGGCGUAAAGAGUUGCGUAGGCGUUUAUGUAAGCGAAUAGUGAAACCUGGUGGCUCAACCACACAGACUAGUAUUCGAACUGCAUAACUCGAGAAUGGUAGAGGUAACUGGAAUUUCUUGUGUAGGAGUGAAAUCCGUAGAUAUAAGAAGGAACACCAAUGGCGUAGGCAGGUUACUGGGCCAUUUCUGACGCUAAGGCACGAAAGCGUGGGGAGCGAACCGGAUUAGAUACCCGGGUAGUCC